rnacentral:rRNA from 1 species
CACACAGGCCUGGUCCCGACCUUUAAGUCAAUCUUUUCAUAACUUACACAUGCAAGUCUCCGCACACCCGUGAGAACGCCCUUCACCCCACCUAACAGGAAGGAGCUGAUAUCAGGCACAAUAUCUGCCCAAGACAUCUAGCCAUGCCACACCCACAAGGGUACUCAGCAGUGAUUAACAUUAUAAAUAAACGUCAGUUUGAUUUAGUUAAUGAAAAUAGAGCUGGCCAAUCUGGUGCCAGCCGCCGCGGUUACACCACAGAGGCUCAAAUUGACCUUACUACGGCGUAAAGCGUGAUUAAAGAAACGUUACUGGGGUCAAACUAAAACUAAGCCGUAAAACACUUGUCUCAAGAAGCCCUAACUAAAUAAUACCCCAACCCACCAACUUGAACUCACGACAGCUGGGGAACAAACUGGGAUUAGAUACCCCACUAUGCCCAGCCGUAAACUUUAACCUACUAUUUGCCACGCCCGGACACUACGAGCUAAAGCUUAAAACCCAAAGGACUUGACGGUACCCCACAUCCACCUAGAGGAGCCUGUCCUAUAAUCGAUAACCCCCGCUCAACCCCACCAUUUUUAGCCUAUCAGCCUGUAUACUUCCGUCAACGCCAACCGCAUGAGCGAAACUCAGUGGGCAUAAUGAUUUUCAUCAAUACGUCAGGUCAAAGUGCAGCAUAUAAAAUGGAAAGAGAUGGGCUACACUCUCUAGCAUAGAAAAAACGAAAGACUAUAUGAAACGAUAGUCAGAAGGCGGAUUUAGUAGUAAACAGAAACUAGAGUCUUCUAUUUAACUCGGCACUGGGGUGUGUACAUACCGCCCGUCACCCUCUUCAAUAGCUUCCCCCAAGUUCAUAACAACACAACUGCCCAAGAAGAGGUAAGUCGUAACAUGGUAAGUAUACCGGAAGGUGUACUUGGAAC